rnacentral:rRNA from 1 species
UUGGCUCAGGACGAACGCUGGCGGCGUGCCUAAUACAUGCAAGUUGAGCGCUGAAGGUUGGUACUUGUACCGACUGGAUGAGCAGCGAACGGGUGAGUAACGCGUGGGGAAUCUGCCUUUGAGCGGGGGACAACAUUUGGAAACGAAUGCUAAUACCGCAUAAAAACUUUAAACACAAGUUUUAAGUUUGAAAGAUGCAAUUGCAUCACUCAAAGAUGAUCCCGCGUUGUAUUAGCUAGUUGGUGAGGUAAAGGCUCACCAAGGCGAUGAUACAUAGCCGACCUGAGAGGGUGAUCGGCCACAUGGACUGAGACACGCCC